UACGGAGGGUGCGAGCGUUUGUCCGGAAUCACUGGGCGUAAAGGGCGCGUAGGUGGCUCGGCAAGCGUGCGGUGAAAGUUCGAGGCUCAACCUCGAAUCUGCCGUGCGAACUGCCAGGCUUGAGCACUGUAGAGGCAGAUGGAAUUCCGGGUGUAGCGGUGGAAUGCGUAGAGAUCCGGAAGAACACCGGUGGCGAAGGCGGUCUGCUGGGGCGAGUUGCUGACACUGAGGCGCGACGAGCGUGGGGAGCAAACAGG
rnacentral:rRNA from 1 species